rnacentral:rRNA from 1 species
GGAUUAGAUACCCUGGUAGUCCACGCCAUAAACGAUGGAUACUUGUUGUUAGAGGUAUUGACCCCUCUAGUGACGUAGCUAACGCGUUAAGUAUCCCGCCUGGGGAGUACGGUCGCAAGAUUAAAACUCAAAGAAAUUGACGGGGGCCCGCACAAGCGGUGGAGCAUGUGGUUUAAUUCGAUGCAACGCGAAGAACCUUACCUAGGCUUGACAUGGACUGGAAGACUGGCAGAAAUGUCGUCGCUCGCAAGAGUCGGUUCACAGGUGCUGCAUGGCUGUCGUCAGCUCGUGCCG